UAUCAGCCGAUUCUUCUCCACUU
rnacentral:snRNA from 1 species